GUGGGGAAUAUUGCACAAUGGGGGAAACCCUGAUGCAGCGACGCCGCGUGAGCGAAGAAGUAUUUCGGUAUGUAAAGCUCUAUCAGCAGGGAAGAAGAAUGACGGUACCUGACUAAGAAGCCCCGGCUAACUACGUGCCAGCAGCCGCGGUAAUACGUAGGGGGCAAGCGUUAUCCGGAUUUACUGGGUGUAAAGGGAGCGCAGGCGGUGCGGCAAGUCUGAUGUGAAAGCCCGGGGCUCAACCCCGGUACUGCAUUGGAAACUGUCGUACUAGAGUGUCGGAGGGGUAAGUGGAAUUCCUAGUGUAGCGGUGAAAUGCGUAGAUAUUAGGAGGAACACCAGUGGCGAAGGCGGCUUACUGGACGAUAACUGACGCUGAGGCUCGAAAGCGUGGGGAGCAAACAGGAUUAGAAACCCUUGUAGUCC
rnacentral:rRNA from 1 species